CAACGGGCUCUUAAAGUUUUUCCGGAAGAAUGAAUUUUAUUACACUUUCAUUGGACAAACAAAAACUCCUUUCAGAAUGCUUUUGCUUGAUAAACCUGACGUCGCCGGUCACCGCAACACGCUUCCAGCGACGGUCAAUCAAGCUCCAUCGGCUGAGACGGUCCUUUUCACUGAUCACAAAUUCACAGCAUCACCGCUUCAAUCCAAGGUGGGCCAAUGGUGUGUAGAAAUAAGGUGAGAGGGAGCAUGAAUACGUACAUGAGGAAGGAUCGGGUCAUUGCAUAUAUGAAGGCUUGCAGCUUCCAUCACUUUCAGUUCUGGAGCAUCAAGGAAAUUAACGAUCCGAGCAAAGGCAACUUUUGCCUGAAUGAUCACUGCAAUAACAUCCGAGAUGUUUGAAAUCGGAUCUUGAACAAGGCGCAAAGUUGCCACAAAAGUGAAAACGUUACUAGCAUUCAAAGGAACAUUCAAGAAGUAACAUGCCAUAAAAGAAGCAGCAGACACCAAUAUCGGCGAGGUCCAAAAGAAAAACAUAUGCUUGAAGAACCAAUGGGGCGAACUAGAGUUGAUGUGUGAACACUUCGAGUGGCAAUGAUGAGAAUCGGUAUCAAAGCAAAUUAAGGUACACUUUUAUCACUUUCUAGACUUAACAUGGUUAGUUGAUUGUGUGUGCAAAUUGCUUAGCAUAAAUUCCUUGAGUCACAUGUCAUUUUUGAAUCAAAAUUUAGAACUUAACCAAUUGUGAGGAAGCUUUUCACUGUGCACUAAAUGCGGGAUACCGGAAUUUAUUUCAACUCAUUUUUAUCAUGCUAAACCAUGCAUUAUUCUUGUUUGCGAAAAAGUGUGAAAGUGAUAGAGGCAUUGUUUGAAUUUGAGAAAAACCACUUGGCCAAAAAGUUGAAUCAAUUAACCUUGUGAGGAGUGAUCCUUAGUUAACCCCUUUGAGCUUAUAUUAGGAUUCAUGUGAUUAUUAAAUAUGUUUGAUAGAUGAAUCCUAAUUUCUUUUGUUCAUUAAAACCUUCAACCACAAUGGUUGUAAUUGUGCCUUUUGCCUAUGUCUAUGUAGGGAGCAUUGUUGUAUCUACUAUGGUUUGAAUCCUAAAGUUGGGGAGAGUUAAUUGAGAAAUUAUGAAAAAGUGGUACUUAUGAGUUUUGUGGUAAUAAGAAAAGAACAACACAUUUUGGAAUUAUGAAGCAAGAAAAAGAAUUAAAAUCGCUCCCGAUAUGUGUCGUUGAAAAAUAAUGAAAAAGAAAAAGAAAAGAAAAUGGGAUUCAAGCAAGUGUUAUUUGUUAAGUGAAUUGAUAGGAAUGCUCCCUUAGGAUAGACAUUUUUGUAUAAUUUCCCUCUAGUAACACCCUUUCUUUGUAACUCAACCCACAUUACAACCUAUGAAAGCCCUUUUGAUUCUCACUUUGCACAUAAUUUUUGAACUUGUUGUGGUGAACGCAUGAUUUGAGUUGUUAUUGAUCUAAAUGUCCAGAUGAGUGAAUGUAAAACCUCUUGUAUUCAUCAUCACUAUGAUGUGUGUGUAGGUUUGAUUUAAUUUUGACAUGUCUUGUUAGAAUUUCUUGAGAAUAAUUUACACUUUACCAUCAUUCUUUCUCAUUCUUUGUUUUAGCAUUGUGGUAGGUGUACUUUGAAUGGACUUAUACUUUUGAGCCAUUUGAGUGUUCGGUCAUCUUGUCAUCAUUCUCUUGUUGUGUUGCUCUGGUUGCUUCUUGUGAAUUUUUGUUUAGGGACAAACAAAAUGGUAAGUUGGGGAGAGUUGUUAGGGACCAAAUAGUACUGAUUUUCAUAUAUUGUUUUUGGUCCCUUUAAUCACUUUUCACUCAAUAAUCACACUUUUACUCAUACAAUUUAGUAAAUUUGCAAUUUUGUUGGUUUUAGGUUUAUUUGAAUUGUUAUGUCACAUGUUUGUUAGUUUUGUAGUGUUUUGAAAAGGUUUGAAGAUCAUAGGAAAUGAAGAUGAAUUGCAUGAAGACUUGGAAUAGCAAAAGGAGUGCUGACAAAGCCAGUUCGCGCCGCAAACUACCUUGGCGACACGACCUGAAGAAUCCAGACCAAGUUCAGCUUUGAAUUGAAUCUGAUGUGGCAAAAUAAACUCAGUUUGCGCCGCAAACCAUCUUGGCGCCGCAAACACGGCGAUUCAGAACUUGUUCUUUUAAUUUGUUUGCCACUUGUCAUGAGUGAAGGCUUAUCUUUUGAAUAUGAAAAGUCGGUACGAAUUGGGAUUAUUUUUUGAGAAUAGAAAAACAUAACCAAAAGUUAUCUUAUCAUUAGACCAAACAUUGAAAGGCUUAGGGUUCUAGAGAGAAAGCUUGCACCUUUGUGAGAGAUUGGUGUUCAUAGUUUCUUCUCCAUACCUUUUGCUAGCAGCCAUGGUGAUGAGUAGCUAAAUCCCUCUUUGACAGGAUUGGAGGUAGUAGUUAUCCUUGUUGACUAUGUAUCUUCUUUAGCACUUUUGUAUGAACUUCAUUGGUAUUGGAAUAAAUUGAUGUUUUUGUUCUAUCUUUUAUAUUUAGAUUUGGAUUAUAGUUGAGAAAUAUAUUUCAAAUCUUGGUCUAAAAUAUUUUCUCAAGUGGUGAAUAAAUUGUAGAGAUAGGUUUAUUCACUACUUUUCUACUUGUAUCAAACAUUCAAGAUUAGUAUAUUGAUAGUUAGAUGGAGAGAUCGUCUAAAGAUUGAUAUGCUAACCAUCACAACUUCAUUUAGACAUAAAUGUUGUUGAGAGGUUACUAGAACAUUUUCAUUACUAUUGAAGUUAUACAUUGGUUGCUAAAGUCACAUAAAAGAUAGGGAUAGUGAAACCAAAACCAAUCUUGUCAUUCUUUUAUUAUUGAAACAAGUCUUUUUAUAUUGCUCAUUUUAUCUUUUUAUUAAAAAAAUAGAAACUCAACUCUAACCAACUUUGUUACAAUUUGAACUUAAAGCGAUAGUAACUAUAGAACGACGGUAAUAUCACCUAAUCUCUAUGGAUACGAUACAAAAAUAUUUGCCUUGAAUAUACUAUUCAACAAUUAUCUGGAGUUGUGCAUAUUUUGCGACAAAACAAUUUGCUCCAACACUAUGUACAACUCCAGAUAAUCAUAACCAUAAUACUUAUGGUUAAGGAACAUGUUUUGAACCUCUAUGUCAGUUUGUAUAUGUGAUUGAUAAAACCUGGCCGAAUUGUUAGGUUGGACAUAUGGUUGUUGGUAAAAAAAUUGAGAGUCUGGUUCUCUAAUUUUGGACUCGAUUUUCUUUUUUAGAUACGAGAAAUCCGCUCUUUUAUUUAGAGAAAAACAUGUGGAAUUAGUGUUUCUAAAUAUGUGUUAAUAUUUUUGAGAAGUGGUGUAUAAAUAUUGUAAUACGGUGAACUGACUUUUUAUCGAUCGAAAUGUCGCGGUAAGCAAGAGUCGCCACCGACUUUUAUUUUAUCCAAACAAUAUUCGGAAAGGCAAAAAGAAACAGAAAAAAAACCUUUUUUAAAGAAAUCUAAGUUCGGGGGGUAAUUUAUGCAAAGGGAAGGUGUAAGGCACCCUUUAAUCCAUGGUUUUCCAUGGGCUCUUAAUUGCUUUGCUUGCUCGUUUUCAGAAAAUGUAGAUGAAAGAGGAAAAAUGGACUUUAGCUCGUAAAUGAGCGUAGCCAGUUUUUUUUGAAGAAUUUUGAGAAAGAAUAUAGAAAAUUGAGCAUUGCAAGGCAAUUAGGGGCAAUUACCUGAAACUCAGAUGAUAGGUCUCUUUUUAGCCUUUCAGAAUGAAAGGGUCUAUCCUUGCCAUAAGAGGGCAGGAAGCCUUUCGUUUGGAGGUUGAAGGGUCAUCGAAGCAUCCUUUGCCAUAAGACUGUCCCAUGCCAUAGAAGGGCAGGUAGUCUAAGGCAAGGAUCAGAAUAAGCCAUUUCGUAGGCAGCCAGAAGAUACCUCAGCCUUUUUUCGUGGGCAACUUCCGAGGGUCGAGGUCAUAUUGUGUAUCGAAGGCAGCAUCAUUUAGGGUCGUAUGACCUUUAGUAUUCGAGGCAACAUGGCUGAGGUAUCUUCGAAUUCGAGGAACGUGGCUUAUUCUGCAAAAACACAAAGGCAACAGGCAACAAGGCAACAAGGCAAACAGGCAACAAGGCAACAAGGCAACAAGGCAACAAGGCAACAAGGCAGCAGAGAGGUUACCCCAAAAGUGUGUGUGGGUGCAACAAUCAUGUGAUUAUAUUCAGAAAAUUAUCUUAUAAUUAACUAUCUAAAUUGAUUUAAGGCUUGCACUCCCUAAGAUUACUAACCACACAAUAAUAUAAACAGUAAUAAUGGGGAAGGGAAAUUGUAACCAGCGGAGGAGAGGGGAAUUGAAACCAGCGGGAUAUAAUUAAAAACAGAAAAUAUAAUAGUUUAGGGUUUUAGGGUUACCGAUACUCGUAGCUUUGGCAAUUGACAAACCCUGAAGAUUUGGAAAAGGAAGAAUAAACAGAAAAAUGGAUGAGUGCAUUAUCGAUUCAAAUGAUAAUUGGGGUUAACCCUAAUCAAUAACAAUAACAAUAAAAGAAAAAGAGUAAAAGAAACUUAGCUUCGAUUGAUGAAGGUUGAUGGGCAAAGGUUUGCCUUGAGCCUUAAGCAUUGACCCUGACCAUUUAAAGAAUUGGAAAAAAAUAGAAAAAAGUAAGUGUAGGAGAAGUUCAGUUAGCAAGGGCACUAAACCCUGAUUAAAUAAAGUAAUAGGUAAAUAAAUAUUUGAAUAAGGGAGGUUAAGAACUUAGCUUCGUUCUUUUGACGUGGCGCAUAGUCGGAGGUAAAAUCCUGUUGCUAAUCCUGAAAAGCAAUGCACAAAGAAAAGAUUUUAUUUUUCAGUGUAUUAUUAAUCCUGGUUAAGAUUCAAAUGGAAUAUAAGGAUAAAUCAAUUUAAUUAAUUAUUGGUCUUGCGACCUAAUUAAUUAAAUCGAGGCGAAAAACUAAAUUGAGUAAAAAGUAAUUUUUUUGGAAUUUUUAGAAUUAAAAGAAAAUACACAUAAAUUUUUAAAGAUUUAAUGGUAAAUUAAAAUAAAUAAAGUCAUUUAAACAAAUAUUAAAAGGGAAACAAUUAAAUAAAUAAAUUAGAUAAAUAAACAUAUAAAAGGUUUUUAUGAAAUCUUAUAUAGUUUUUAUGUAUAAAAAUAAAAUUAAAAAUAAAAACAAUCAUAUAUAUAUAUAUAUUAUAAAUAAGAUAAAAAGGUUGUGCAAUAAAAAAUUAAAAAAAUUAGAAAUUACUUAACUUUUGAUCGUGUGUGGGUUGGCUGGGUGUCCAUAUAAUGAUCUUUGGAUCCUGGUACGUCCGAUCCAAGGCGCUAGUAAUCCAAGGGUUGAAUUUUGAGGGUGCACAGCAAAUCUUGUGAAUGAGGCGCAUGGGAUCAGAAUGAAAUAUGUGUUGAAAAAUAAACGCGAGGACCUGGGGAUCGAACCGGCUCCCCCAAGGUUCCACAAGGCGCCUCUUACCAUCCAGCCAAGCUCUUUGUUUUGUUUAUGAUUCGCCUUCAGAACAAGAUAAAGAAGAACAAGAAAAAUAAAAAGAAAAAGAGCGCGCGAAUUCAAACGGGCGAAUGACUCCACGCCACGUCUUCAUCUUCCUCAGAAAACCUGCAACUGGCCUCUUAACUUUGCUACGAAUUAGCUAUGACUUUGUUCAUAGCCAAUUCACCUGCAACAACGAAAACCUCAUGCAAGCACCAUAAAUUUAUCGCGAAUAUGCUAACAUGAUCGUCCAGCCUUUACGGAUAUAAUAGGCAUCAUAGUUCUUCCCAAUUUUACCUAUAUUGGAAAACCCUAAUUCGAAAGCUUCGAACCCUACCAUGGUGAAACUUGUUCUAGGCACAGAUUCUCCAAUUAAAUUAUCCAGAAACCUCAUAUAUACUAUCACGAACACGAAUAUGCAAUCGAAACAUGUUAAAGAUGCGUGAAUUAAGAGAAUCGAUCAAAGGAAAGUGAGUGCAAACCGUGACGGAUUUGAGAAGAUUCUGAACGUGUUCCUUGCGUGUGAGGAUUGGAAUCCCUUCAGUGAACACCAAGGAACGUUUUGGAAUGCUUGCCCUGCUUUGAAUUGGCCUUAAACUCCAAAGAUGAUUUUGAGUUUUUCUUGAAUUUUUGCUCCGGAUUUGAAACUCUUUGACUGCCGAAAAAAAUCCUCCCUUAGGGUCUGCACUUGUCAUGUAUUUAUAAAGGUUGAUUAGGGUUGAUAAUUUGUGAGGAAAUCCCAAUGAAUCUUUGAUUUGCAAUUUGGUAAAAUAUGAUUGAAAUUAUGUUUCUAAAUAUGAUUCAAAUCCCAUCUUUUUCUACCAAUUAGCCUUUGCACGAAUUUUGUAUGAUUAUUGGAUAUUAUUUGGAUUGAUGAUGAUUGAAAUUGAAGGAAAAUCAAAUUUUUGAUUAUUUUCAUAUUUUAUGCAAUUAAAUCAUGAUUUAAAAGAAUUAAAAUCAUAAAUAAUUGAUAAAAAUUAUGAAAAAUAAAAGGUCUUUGUUUUUGUCACGUGGAUGGGCUUAUAAUGAGGAUGAAGCAACAAUAAUGCAAGCCCAUUUAGAAACAUUUGGAAUUUUAGGCUUUUUCCUCUUUGUACCCAUUUGAAAAAUAAGUGAACUUGUAUACCACGCCAUUUCUCCAUAUCUCAAUAUUUUUUCAAGAUUGUAGACUUUUUGGAAACCUUAAAGAGUCUUCUAGCCAGUGUCUUUGGUCUCAUAUCAAAAUUAUUCUCCAUUUUCAUUUUAUGUCCUUUUGAAAAAAAUGUCUUUUUGUUGACUUUUGAAAAGGACCUAUAAUGUAUGAAGCCAUAUCUCUUAAACCAUUGACCUAUGAGCUCUGAUUCUUGGACCAUUGGAUAGAGGAAUGAAUUCCCUUCAAAAUAAGCUUUAGUGGGAAUUUUUCUGAUGAGGUAUGAAUAUUUGGUGAAUUUUUCAAAGUUUGAUUGACUUUUUUCAGCUCAUGCCCAAAAUAGUAACUUUUGACUUUUGACUCUUCUGAUGUUUCCUUGCAUCAUUAUGAUCAACCCUUGAUCACAUAAUGAUUUUAGGAUUAUGGGGAUGUUGCUGACCUUAUGGAACCACUUUGAGCCCUUGAUUCAGUGAUUUUUCUUUGAAUGAUCCAAACCCUAAUUCAGAGCCUUUGUAUAGGAGAGUGUGUUUUGGAGCUUUAUGUCUUGAUUUUGAGAUUGCAUAUGAGAAAUGGUAUGGGCAAAUUUUGGGGUAUGACAAAUAUCAUGCAUGCAAGACAUUAGGUGGAGAAAAUAAUACAUGCAAGAAUCAAUUUGGACAAGACUUAUGCAUGUUUGCUGAACACCUAUGGAAUCUCUUACACACUAGCCUUCCCCUUUUGCAUGUAUUCAGACUGACCCAUGCAUGUCUUUUAAGCAUGCAACAAGUCGCCAGUGUGGGUGGAGACAACAUUGAAAAAUUGAGAGUAGGCGCCAGGGGGUGGCGAUAGCAAUGAAAAUUUGAGAGUAGUCGCCAGUGGGCCUAGCGAAUUGCAUCGUGUACGAAUUUCAACAUUGCAUGCACUUGUCUUGUCAAAUUUAUUUAUAUGUAUUUAUUGUGUGAA